rnacentral:rRNA from 1 species
CAGCCGCCGCGGGAAUACGUAGGUGGCAAGCGUUGUCCGGAAUUAUUGGGCGUAAAGGGCUCGCAGGCGGUUUCUUAAGUCUGAUGUGAAAGCCCCCGGCUCAACCGGGGAGGGUCAUUGGAAACUGGGAAACUUGAGUGCAGAAGAGGAGAGUGGAAUUCCACGUGUAGCGGUGAAAUGCGUAGAGAUGUGGAGGAACACCAGUGGCGAAGGCGACUCUCUGGUCUAUAACUGAAGCUGAGGAGCGAAAGCGUGGGGAGCAAACAGGAUUAGAUACCCGUGUAGUCCCUGUCUCUUAUAC